UGACCGACUCAGGAAUUCAGAGGGAGAUCCCUAGGAAGUGGUCCCUAGAAGGAGGCACACCUCCAUCUCCUCACAGGCCAGCUCCCCUACCCAGUCCCUCACAAGGCCCAGCUCUCCUUUCCCGACUUCCCAUGGAUCCUCUCCUCUUCCUCUCCUGCAGCAGCUGAGCCAGGGCUGUCUCUUGGGUUCAGUCCGGUUGGCUCCAGGCCAAUUCCAGGUGUCACAUCAGGCCUUGGCUUUCAGAAGUCUGCAGGGGGUUCCUCCAGGAAGGGCAGUGUGCUUCCUCCAGGGUCCACCAUUCAGGAGAUCUGCUUGAAAAUGUCCACCUACUCCACCCAGGACAGCAGAAACUACUUGGGGAGGCUGUACUGGGCCCCUUCUUCCAGUUGACCUCCUAGUCUGAAGCGGAAACACUCAACAAAGAAAGCUCCCUCACCACCUAAUUGAUGUGACAUUGGAAACAGCCUUGUUCUUCCUCACUUAGAAUAGACUCCCUUUGCUCCAUUCCAGAGAGGGGAGAAGAAGCAAUGAACUGCCUGGGGGAGGCAGUUCUGCAGAAAGAAUCUGAAGGCCACUGUGGAAGGAAUUGGCCACGGAUGCUGAAUGAUGACAACAGUGCUGAGCAUCCAAAUUCAAAGGCUGUGAUAAGCUCUAGCUAAAGGCUGGAAACCAGCUCAGACUCACAUACCAGGGUGUCCAACCCAUGCCCAACCAGGAAAAAAGAAGGAGAUUGAAGGAGAAAAAGGGAGAGAGAUGGUCACCAAGCUGAAGGCAGAUGAAGAAGUGAGAGAGAGCAAAGUGCCUUCUUGCUGGGAGCCUCCCUUGUGUCUGGAAUGAUCAGAAAUCGGGGAGAAAUGGUACAGCCUUCAGCAGACGAAAUUGAGCAGUUGUGCUGUGAGACGGGCUGUGGUACUUAAAUGCAAUAGCUGAUCUAAUCACCAGUCUCGUUCUCUGGGAAGCUUUUUGCUGCAUUUUAGCACAGAAAAGUGUUGUCUUUCUCUCUUUUGUGGCUCGAGCUGCUAUUUAA
rnacentral:lncRNA from 1 species